rnacentral:lncRNA from 1 species
ACACCUCAGAGUUUCACCCAAGGCCCAUGAAAAGCUGCCUAAACAGAAACACCAUUGAAGAAAAAAGAGAUUGCAGUCUUCUCUGUUUCUGCCAUGUUGAAGCUUGGAUACAUUGCUUUUGUGUCUUCUGUAGAAGAAAUCAUUUGAUUUGUUUAUUUCUUUUCUCUGCAAUAUGUGAAAAGUAAAUGUUGGUGGUGUCUAGUUUAUUUUAAAAAAAAUAGUGCAUUCCUCAAUGCAGUUGGAAGGGCUAAGAUUUAAAUAACAUUGAAAAUUAUAACUGAAAUAAAGCAGAAUUCCUGACUUUUCUAUUGUUCAGUAAGUUCUAUUGAUUUCCUCUGUGAUAUCUUUGGCAGGCAGAGUCUCCCUUCAUUAUUCUAAAUUUGG